GUGAGUGUAGCUCAGCUGGUUAGAGUCCCAGAUUGUGAUUCUGGAUGUCGAGGGUUCGAAGCCCUUCACUCACC
rnacentral:tRNA from 1 species